AACGAACGCUGGCGGCACGUUUUAAGCAUGCAAGUCGAAUGGCAGCAGGGGCAACUCUGUGAGAAUGGCGAACGGGUGAGUAACACGUAGGUGAUCUGCCUUGAGGAUGGGGAUAGCCUGUGGAAACACAGGGUAAUACCGAAUGAGCUGACGAGACUUUGGUUUUGUUAGUAAAGGUGCUGCGGCACCGCCUUGAGAGGAGCCUGCGGCUGAUUAGCUAGUUGGUGGGGUAAGAGCUUACCAAGGCGACGAUCAGUAGCCGGCCUGAGAGGGUGUACGGCCACACUGGAACUGAGACACGGUCCAGACUCCUACGGGAGGCAGCAGCUAAGAAUCUUCCGCAAUGGGCGAAAGCCUGACGGAGCGAUGCCGCGUGAUCGAUGAAAGUCGAGAGAUUGUAAAGAUCUUUUCUACAUGAGGAAUAAGUCUGGGAGGGAAUGCCCGGAUGAUGACGUUAGUGUAGGAAUAAGCCCCGGCUAAUUACGUGCCAGCAGCCGCAGUAA
rnacentral:rRNA from 1 species